rnacentral:lncRNA from 1 species
GCAACCAGAGACAGAAAGCCAGUCUCAGGCAAGUGAUAUCAUAUUUUCUCUGGUUUGUAGUUCCUGCAUAUAGUCACAGAAAACCAUGUGGGUAUAUAUUAAGUGAAAGUGGAAGUGAAAUUGUCCAGGGGAAAAUAGAGGAUUGGCAGGAAGGGGAGGAGCAAGAAAAGGGAAGGUGGGAGUAACAAGGCAGUAUAUGCUCACCAUACAGUAUAUAGCCAUAGGAAAACAAAAGAACAAGCAGAAGCACAGAAGCUCAGGGGAGCAACAUUACUACACACUGGAAGAUCGGGGACUGAUGCUAAAAUUGAUGUCUGAAUUCAUUGAGGGUAGUCAGGCAAAGAAGGGGAGAUGGUGUUCUCCAAGAAUGCUCAUCAGCCUCGGGCUCUUACGUCGACAUCUUUGUAAGCACUGCCCAGCAGAGCUAUGUGAAAAAGCUACCCCGGGCUGCCUCCCUCAUGGCCAGCAUAUCCAGACCAGUAACCAGGCUCUCCUGGGGUCCUGCCUUAGAAAUUUCUUGAUCACAGUACUAACUCCCAUUUUUUACUGCUCUAUUUUCAUGACUUACUGAUGACAGCGCUGCCGAUUUACCAUAACUGGCACUCACACUUGGAUACGAUAGAGGCUCUGCAAAGGGAACACCUAGCAAAAGUUAGAUAAAAAAAAAAAAAAAAAAA